GGGUGGGUGUGUUUCUGGGUGGACCAGCGGAGGGGUCAACGGGGGCGAGAGGAUCCAGCUCCGUCACCCCUCCAGCAGCUGACACACCCCAGAUGGCAUCGCGGAGAUUAGCAGAGGCCCUGCUGAAGGGCGUGGGGAGGGGUUAAUCCCCAGGGGAUUCCUGGAGGAGCCCCGGAGGCCAGGUACUGAGUGCUUCCCACCCGCUAAGCACUCUGUCUGCCAAGAGCUGCCGUGAACAAAGCAGACGAGUCCUCCUGGAGCUUAUCUUCUGGUCAGGAGGAAUACAGCACAGCUAAGCCAAGUGCGGCUGACCCUCCUCCUCCUCAGAUUGCUUUAUUUGCAAGCUCACCUAUUUGUCAGAACCUAUUUGCAGUCCCAGGAUCAAUGCAUCUAGUACUUUCAGAGUCAUCCGGGGACAAGAACUGAGCAGUGAGAAUUCUGAGUAAGAUGAGCAUAUUCCCAGGAGAGGUGGACUCUUCUUGCUUCAGCUCGCAUAUGCUGAACAAGUGACCUUCUGGGGACUAUUUAAUGCCACUGUUUUUUUUCUUUUUUUUGUCAUUUGUAUUGGUGGUUUCCCUGUUUUAAAAUGGCCCCAAGUUCAGCAUUGAAGUUGUCUGUCUAGGAUUUGUAAGUGGAAUAAGGCUGGGAAGCGCCCCCACGAAGGAGAAAUUGAAAGUUACAUAAGCUUCCCUCAGGCAUGCAUGCUGUUGGCUGGGAAUUCAGUGUUAAUGAAUCAACAGAAUAUUUUAAGCAAGCUGUCUUUAAGCAGAAACAAGCAAAGAACACGGUUAAGAACUUGAUGAAAAUUUUGUGGCCAGAGGCUCAUAGAUGCCUAAGCCUAUGUUUCCCCAAUGGCUCAAUAUUUGCUCAUCCGUUGUUCAGGACGAAUCUAGAGAUGUGUUCUGUGUGCUAAGUCACUUCAGUUGUAUCCAGCGCUUUGCGACCCUAUGGACUGUAGCCCGCCAGGCUCCUCUGUCCAUGGGAUUGUCCAGGCAAGAAUACUGGAGCAGGUUGCCAUUCCCUUCUCCAGGGGAUCUUCCCAAUGCAGGAAUCAAACCCACGUCUCUUACGUCUCCUGCACUGGCCGGCAGGUUCUUUACCACUAGCGCCGCCUGGGAGGCCCUUACAGAACAUAACUGCCUUCAGUAAUGAGAAAGACUGGCGUUUCAUUUGUGAUGCGUAGCUUGAGGAAGAUCAAACAGGGCGAUGAUCAGCGUGAUUUAUGUGAUUGGAAGGCAAUGUGGAUCAAGGCAGUUUCUUCAGGAGGUGACACUGGAGCUGAGAUCUGCAGAGAAGCGGGCAGCCAGUUGGGAGAACCAAGCAUAGCGGUCUGAGGGCGGAAGCUGGGGUGCUCAGAUCCUGGCUGG
ensembl:lncRNA